GACGAACGCUGGCGGCGUGCUUAACACAUGCAAGUCGAACGGAAAGGCCCUGCUUUUGUGGGGUGCUCGAGUGGCGAACGGGUGAGUAACACGUGAGUAACCUGCCCUUGACUUUGGGAUAACUUCAGGAAACUGGGGCUAAUACCGGAUAGGAGCUCCUGCUGCAUGGUGGGGGUUGGAAAGUUUCGGCGGUUGGGGAUGGACUCGCGGCUUAUCAGCUUGUUGGUGGGGUAGUGGCUUACCAAGGCUUUGACGGGUAGCCGGCCUGAGAGGGUGACCGGCCACAUUGGGGCUGAGAUACGGCCCAGACUCCUACGGGAGGCAGCAGUGGGGAAUAUUGCACAAUGGGCGGAAGCCUGAUGCAGCAACGCCGCGUGCGGGAUGACGGCCUUCGGGUUGUAAACCGCUUUCGCCUGUGACGAAGCGUGAGUGACGGUAAUGGGUAAAGAAGCACCGGCCAACUACGUG
rnacentral:rRNA from 1 species